AUGUCCGCUCCAGUGGUAGACAGUGACUCAGAGUCAGAUUCUGAUUUAGAGGGAUACAAAGACAUUGCUGGCAAUUUUUUCUCGAUGGUCAACCAAUUGAAAGAAAAAGGCAGUCACUUAGAAGCCACCCCUAAAAAGAGGAAAAUACCUUCUCCUGAGAAGAAGAACAAAGAACCUGAAAACCUGGAUGUGUCAAUUAAUCUGGAUACUGAUAACACUAACUCAUCUGAACCAAUUCUAGAAAGUACCAAUAAGUCAGAGUCCAACAUAGAUGAUUCUGCUGCUAAUCUAUCCACAUCAAUCGCAGAAGAUUCCCCGAUUUCAUUGAGGAUGAAGAAGAUGAUGAAGAUGACGAAGAUGAGGUUGAUGAGGUAGAUUUGAACACACGGCUCAGCCGACUUCGUCCAAGGAGUGGAGGCAGAGUUCUUCCCACCCGUAGAAAAAAGAAAACUAAAACUAAAACGAAGCAGUCCCCAAAAAAGAAAAGAAAAUGAUUGAGUAUGAUUUUAGUUUACUUGAAGAUAAUGAUGAUAGUUUGGUAAGUACAGCUGAAGAUUUUUUUCAGAAGCUCUCAGCUUCCUCUAUCAUCUUGAAUCCUUCAUCUUUUUUUUUUAACAUCGUGAUGGAUGUCACCGUAACAUCAAUAAUGAUAUAGUAUGAAGUUUUGUAAAACACACAAAGCCAAGGUGUUAUAUGAGAAUACAUUUUUUAUUAGAACCGAAGUUUCUUGAGCUUUGUGAUCAUUAUCAAGGCUAAGGAAAUCGCACUACAUCAAGCAAUAAGAAAUUACCAAGCAAAAUGAAAAAUAGAAGACACAGCGGAGUGCGAAAAAAUCGAAGUAAAAAUCUAGCAAUCAAUUGAUAGGUGAUAACAGGUGGUAU
rnacentral:lncRNA from 1 species